CCUACCUUUGGGAGAGCUUGAGUGGUUCGGCUUUCCCUGUGGUCCAGUGGGGCUUCAGUCAUCUUACUGCUCUGCUCCAUACAGCGCUGUUUAGUGAUGCCGAGCCGGAAUGACAUCAUAUUCCGGCUCCCGGCAUCACUGGAGUGUGCGCGUGGGAGCAGAGCAGGGAGGUACCGAUUCCUUGUGCACCUGCCCAUCUGCCUC